CCAGCAAUUGCGGUUAUACAAAUAAUUUAAUUUAACUUUUUCGGCUGUUAGUUAGUUAUUAGGGUUAAAGCUUUAAUUUUAGGUUUAUUAGGUGAAAUUUUAAAUUUAAAAUAAAUGCUAUUUUAGAUGAGGCUAAGAAAUUCUUUAUUUAAACUAGGAUUAGAUACCCUAUUAUUUUGAAUGUAAAUUAUUUUUUUGCUUGAUUAGUAUUAGUUAUUUUCUUGAAAAUUAAAGAUUUUGGCGGUAUUUUAGUCUAUUCAGAGGAACCUGUCCUGUAAUCGAUGGUCCACGAGUGUCACUACUUUUUUAAAAUGUUUGUAUAUCGUCGUAGUUUGAACAUUUUUUUAGGAAAUUAAUGUUCAUGAUUUUAUUUAUAAAGGAGAUCAGAUCAAGGUGCAGCUAUAGGGAAGGAGAGACGGGUUACAAUAAAUUUAUUUUAGGAUUGAGGGGUUUUAAGCUUCCAUAAAUGCGGAUUUGAGGGUAAUUUUAAUUUAAUAGUUAGUAUGAUUUGGCUCUAAAAUAUGCACAUAUUGCCCGUCGCUUU
rnacentral:rRNA from 1 species